rnacentral:rRNA from 1 species
UACGUAGGGGGCUAGCGUUGCUCGGAAUCACUGGGCGUAAAGGGCGCGUAGGCGGUCUCUUAAGUCGGGGGUGAAAGCCCAGGGCUCAACCCUGGAAUUGCCUUCGAUACUGAGAGUCUUGAGUUCGGAAGAGGUUGGUGGAACUGCGAGUGUAGAGGUGAAAUUCGUAGAUAUUCGCAAGAACACCAGUGGCGAAGGCGGCCAACUGGUCCGAUACUGACGCUGAGGCGCGAAAGCGUGGGGAGCAAACAGG